GUUUCAGUAGAAAACUGCUGUGAGAAUUAAUCAGAGUGUGAAGUGAAACAUCCUCAAACCUUUAGCAGAUAAGUGAGAAGUCAUUAAAGCAGAGAACCCUAAUGUGAAAAGCAGAAGUUGUUUCCAUGACAAAGAAUGGGCUCUAAGCUGUAAGCAACAGCAUCUGUUGGCUUAUAACAGCAGUGAUCAUCCAUACUCUGUCUGACUACAUGUAAGUGGACAACAAUAGGACUAGCAAAUUUCUUUGGAGAGAUGAACUGAGGAAAUUGGGUUACAGGACUUCAGUAAAAUAAAACAGACACAUUCAUUUCCCAGUAGUACCUUGCAGAAGGAAUUGCUCGCUGUCUUUCUUAAAAUAAUUCUUGGGUGCAUUACAGUGAGGGGACAAUGUGAUUGACCAUCCUUGCAUCCAAGUACCAUGCAGAGUAUAUACAACUACAAAUGUGUAGCUACAAAAGUAGCUCUUUACUUUUAGGUAUAUUGUUCUGGCUAUAUACAUUCUCUGUAUCAUCAGAAAAGGCCUGAAAGAUACAGAAUAAUCAGCAUGUACUUUUAACCUUACAGAACAUGGCUACUUAAGUGAUUUCUAGGUGGAAGAAGAGCAGUAUAAUUGGACUGAGUUUUCACAUAAAUCCUUUCCAACAGGAAAUGCAGCUCUUUUACUGAUAAUAUACAUAAAGCUUCUUACUGAAAAAUGCUGGUUAAAGAAAUUAAUGAUUCCGAAUAUGUGUAGAGAGACAUAUCAAAAGGCAUAGAUUUAAGAAUAAUUCUAUUUGCUUCCAAAGUUACUUGUUCAGUGUUAGAAGGAAAUUGUGAUGACACUUCUUAAGUAUCUUCAUUAUAAUUAUCAUAUUAAAAGGCAUACUCUAUCAAAAACAUUAUGCUGAAUUUAUUUUGUAUUUUCUAGGGCACAAUGUUAAUUUAUAUGCACACACAGAGAUAUAUGUGUCCGCAUACAUUUUUUUUAACUAAUUACA